AAGUCUUGGAAGAAAAGGAGACCCACCAAGAGAGGAUCUCCCAUCUGGAGACUAAUCUAGAAGAAUUGAAUGGUCUUUGCGAUGAGAUGAAGCUUAAAUUAGAGGAUUAUCAGGCUAAAGAGGAUUAUAUCAAGGAGAAAGAAGCUGAACUUUUGUCUCUAAAUGCUAAAGCUUCACUGAAUUUUCAAGAAGCUGAAAACUUAACCCUCUCAGCAUCUCACAUGAGAUCUCUUUUUGACAAACUAAAAGAGAUUGAAACACUCAUGGGGCCUGAUGUGGGAGAUGCAGAGGCCUAUGAUUCACCUGAUGUCAGGCGGCUCUUUUAUGUAGUUGAUAAUUUCCCAAGAUUACAGCUCCAGAUGGACUCAUUGUCUCGUGAGAAAAAAGAAUUACAAUCAAGCCUUGAGAAACAGGCACUGCAAAUUGAGAGUUUAAAGGAUGAAGUUGAAGAGCACAUGAGAGAUGAGGUGGACUGUGCAAAGAUGAAG
rnacentral:misc_RNA from 1 species